UGCAAUAUGGAAAAAAAAACUAUACAACUAACUGAAAUGUAAUGAUGUUGUCAUUAAAUCUCUGAGCUAAAAAUCGCUUUUCAUUUGACCACGCAACAUAUACUUCCCGUUGCAACGCACGGGCCAGUUUUGCUAGUUAAAUUUAAGAGGAAUAGUUACAUUGGAUGAAUGCCUUUUACUUCUUUACGGAAGCUAGCCGUGGAAAAAAGCUAAUUUUUGAAAGCGUAGUUAAAAAUGUUCAAAAAAAAAGAAAGCGUAGUUAAAAUAAGUUAUCCCGUACAAGACCUAUGUAAGUUAGUUUGAUAUCAAUGUCAAGUUGAACAAAAAUUCAAAAACAUGAUGAAUUCUCGCC
rnacentral:lncRNA from 1 species